AUCGUCAUGAGGAGCUUGCUCGAUCGGCAUAGCAUCUUUUAAUUUUUUUUAAUAAACAUAGCAUCUUUUAAUUUGGGACAGGAAACAAGCUGCACACGUGCGCGUCCGGCUGAGCACAUCCAUGCAGACAGCCAUGCACGCAUGUGCGCAUUUGUGAAGGGUAAUGAGCUGCUAGCGAGCCACGGAUCGAGGAACUCAAUUGGUUGAUGUAUGACCCCACCUAAUUCCAUGUCUUCAUUGAGGCCAAUUUAGACUGGACCACGCGGCACCACCGACUUUUACCACUGAGCCUGCAUAUACGGACGGCCACGGAAGUUUCAGAUGAUAACCUCUGGUCUGAAAGCGACACAGCUGAUGAGGUGUGAUGCAUGGGCGGCGUCGCAGAUAGCCACCAAUCCAGCAUAUAUGCCAUUCGUACCGCGGUGGACAAGUCGUCUACUACCACUACUUGUUGUAUACUUGCGUUUUUGACACUUGGAUUCGGAUUGCGAUCACUGUCAGCGCUACGUCCGCCUUUUCUCGCCGUCUCCACUUGUUCAACCACCAGUCUGUUUCUCCACAGUCGGCUAGUGCAUUUCUUGCACCGUGUUAAGCGGAUGACCAGGGAAUGGUUACAUCCCCCACUGUCUAC